GGCGAACGUUCAGUUACUUCCGGUUUUCAAGAUGCUCUCGACUUAGCAGUUAAUCUUUUCGAGAUAGAUUUUUCUUUUAAGAAUGAACGUUCGAAUUUAUUUUAUUUGUUUUUAAUUGAUUUUUAAUCAAUUAUCUAGUUUUUACGAGUGACACACCCUUUGAGAAGGUUCAUAGAGAAAUAAGAAACGGGUGAAUAUGAUACACACAGAACGUGAACACACAAAAAGGAAAAAAUGCCUGACAAAGACCUUAAAUGGUUUCAAAACGAGAGGAAAGAACAAUCGAAAAAGGUCGAGUUGUUUACCUUUCAGAAAUAAUAUGAGAGUGAUCAGCCACUGCAAUACAUCAGAUCUGAACGUGAUAGAACCAACAAUAAAACAACUACAAUGAAAUAUAAUGCAACACGAAGAGGGAUUAGCUAGGG
rnacentral:misc_RNA from 1 species